CGUAUCACCCAAGACAACUUUACGGAGUUGACGAUUGACGGAGCGAAGCGACGUCAAAGCGUUCAUUAAAGUCGAGUUGGCUUAGGGAUACGUUCGUUGGGUAGGGGAGCGUUCUGUAAGCCUGUGAAGGUGUGUCGUGAGGCAUGCUGGAGGUAUCAGAAGUGCGAAUGCUGACAUAAGUAACGAUAAAGCGGGUGAAAAGCCCGCUCGCCGGAAGACCAAGGGUUCCUGUCCAACGUUAAUCGGGGCAGGGUGAGUCGACCCCUAAGGCGAGGCCGAAAGGCGUAGUCGAUGGGAAACGGGUUAAUAUUCCCGUACUUGGUGUUACUGCGAAGGGGGGACGGAGAAGGCUAUGUUGGCCGGGCGACGGUUGUCCCGGUUUAAGCGUGUAGGUGUGUGUUCCAGGUAAAUCCGGUUCACUUUAACACUGAGGCGUGACGACGAGGCACUACGGUGCUGAAGCAACAAAUGCCCUGCUUCCAGGAAAAGCCUCUAAGCAUCAGGUAACACGAAAUCGUACCCCAAACCGACACAGGUGGUCAGGUAGAGAAUACCAAGGCGCUUGAGAGAACUCGGGUGAAGGAACUAGGCAAAAUGGUGCCGUAACUUCGGGAGAAGGCACGCUG
rnacentral:rRNA from 1 species